UACAGAGGUCCCAAGCGUUGUUCGGAUUCAUUGGGCGUAAAGGGCGCGUAGGCGGCCACCGCAAGUCGACUGUGAAAUCUCCGGGCUUAACCCGGAAAGGUCAGCCGAUACUGCGGGGCUAGAGUGCAGAAGGGGCAACUGGAAUUCUCGGUGUAGCGGUGAAAUGCGUAGAUAUCGAGAGGAACACCUGCGGCGAAGGCGGGUUGCUGGGCUGACACUGACGCUGAUGUGCGAAAGCUAGGGGAGCGAACGGG
rnacentral:rRNA from 1 species